UGAGGAACAUGACCUUCGGCGGGGGAUAGCCGGCCCAACGGCCGGGUAAUACCGCGUACGACCUUCCGGGGACAUCCCUGGAUGGUGAAAGCAGCAAUGCGCCGAUGGAGUGCCUCGCGGCCUAUCAGCUAGUUGGUGAGGUAACGGCUCACCAAGGCGACGACGGGUAGCUGGUCUGAGAGGAUGGCCAGCCACAUUGGGACUGAGACACGGCCCAGACUCCUACGGGAGCAG
rnacentral:rRNA from 1 species